rnacentral:rRNA from 1 species
AGGGUUUGAUCAUGGCUCAGGACGAACGCUGGCGGCAUGCCUAACACAUGCAAGUCGAACGAGAAAGUUCCUUCGGGAGCAAUUAAAGUGGCGCACGGGUGAGUAACGCGUAGACAAUCUGCCCUUCAGUCUGGGACAACUUUUCGAAAGGAGAGCUAAUACCGGAUAACAAUGCAUGACACAAGUUGUAUAUUUGAAAGCUUUAUGUGCUGAAGGAGGGGUCUGCGUCCCAUUAGCUAGUUGGUAAGGUAAAGGCUUACCAAGGCAACGAUGGGUAGCGGGUUUGAGAGGACGAUCCGCCACACUGGAACUGAGACACGGUCCAGACUCCUACGGGAGGCAGCAGUGGGGAAUAUUGCACAAUGGAGGAAACUCUGAUGCAGCAAUGUCGCGUGAGUGAAGAAGGCCCUUGGGUCGUAAAGCUCUUUUAUGGGGGAAGAUGAUGACGGUACCCCAAGAAUAAGCACCGGCUAACUAUGUGCCAGCAGCCGCGGUAAUACAUAGGGUGCGAGCGUUGUUCGGAAUUACUGGGCGUAAAGGGCGCGCAGGCGGAAUAGUAAGUCGGAGGUGAAAGCCCGGGGCUCAACCCCGGAGGGUCUUUCGAAACUACUAAUCUAGAGAGGGUCAGGGGCCGGCAGAAUUCCUGGUGUAGAGGUGAA